GAGGACUUAGCUCAGUUGGUAGAGCACUGCCCUGAAGAGGCAGGGGUCCGGGGUUCAAGUCCCUGAGUUCUCA
rnacentral:tRNA from 1 species